GUCACUUCUUAGGGUUUUAUUUCUCGAAAUUUCUGGAGAUAACUCUUUUUCAAAGAUUUUCACAAGCAGAGAAGUUGACGACAUCCUUAAAAUAUGAUCCUGGAAAGCGCUUGAAUCCGUAUGGAAUAAUCGUUGGGAAUGUGGAUGUGGAGAAACCAUCAUUGACAGAUUGAACAGCUAAAGAAGUAGCAACAUAAAACAGAUAAGUUCUCUCAUCUACUGUCAGACUCUUAUAUACUUUUCUUUAAGUUCUAUGAAACUCCAAAAAGAUCAAAGGCAGGCAUUAAUCUAAUAGUGUUCUGCCAGAAUCUUAUUUGGAGACAUUGUCCCGACUCCCUAUUGCGUGAGGCUUAGACCCAGAGGAGAUUUAAACCAUGACCCUUGGUUUGGUAGUGCAUGUCUAUGCAAGAGAUGUUUGGGGGAUGGAAAGUAAAACACACGGCUUUUCAAAAACAACCGUCGGCUUAAAAAUAGUCUUUAGACGGAAAAUGACUAUGCCUAAGGCAACGAAAUGAGGGAUGGAUAAAGGGUGACAAAGUUUAGUACCAACGGCUUAAAAAGAAGUCUUUAGACAGAGACUGUGAUUGAAAACGCCUUCAUCACAUUAGUAGUACACACGGCUUGCCAAAAAAGGUCUUUUGACAAAGAUUGUGAUUGGAAUAUGUUUUCAUCACAUUAGUAGUACCCACGGCUUGCCAAAAAAGGUCUUUAGUACCAACGGCUUAAAAAGAAAUCUUUAGACAGAGGCUUAAAAAAAAAAGUCUGCUUACAAGAAAGUCUUUUGAAAGAAAAUGACUAUGUCUAAGGCUAUGACAUCGUUGGAAGGAUUCAUCAACACAAAGGAUCAGAUUUGGUUUUGAACUUGUUGAAUGGAAAUAACGAUCACAAGUCAUGAAAACUAAUUGUCCCGAGUCCCGUUGCGUGAAAUGACGAUCACAAGUUACUCAAAUAUGAUUGGAAAAUCUUGCUACCCACGGAUUUACUAAGGGGUUUUAGUACCAGCGGCUUAAAAAGAAGUCUUUAGACAGAGACUGUGAUUGAAAACGUCUUCAUCACAUUAGUACACACCGCUUGCACAAGAAAGUCUUUUGACAAAGACUGUGACUGAAUAUGUUUUCAUCACAUUUGUACCCACGGCUUUCCAAAAAGGUCUUUAGACAAAGACCUUUAACUACCAACGGCUUUAAAAGUCUUUAGACAGAGGCUUAAAAAAAGUCUUUACCCACGGCUUGCAAGAAUGUCUUUUGACAAAGAUUGUGAUGAAAAUGUAUUCAUUACAUUAGAGUACCCACGACUUAGAAAAGACCAAUGGCUUAAAAAAAAUUUAGACCAAGGCUACGAGAUCGUCCCAAUGGCUCUAAAACAGUAUUGGUUGGUAGUGCAUGUCUAAGCAAGAGACAUUUGGGGGAUGGUAAAGUGAAAUAUGCUUUAGUACCCACGGCUUUACAAAAACAACCAUCGGCUUACAAAAUGUCUUUAGACAGAAAAUGACUAUGUCUAAAGGCUAUAAUAAGAUCAUUGGAAGGAUUCAUUAACACAAAGGAUAUGAAUUGUUUUUGAACUUGUUGAAUGGAAAUAACAAUCACAAGUCAGAAAACUAAUCUUGCUACCCAAGGCUAUAAUAAGAUCAUUGGAAGGAUUCAUUAACACAAAGGAUAUGAAUUGUUUUUGAACUUGUUGAAUGGAAAUAACAAUCACAAGUCAGAAAACUAAUCUUGCUGCCCAAGGCUUAAAAACAAGUCUUUAGACAGAGGUUGUGAUUGAAAAAAUGUAUUCACUACGUGAGUACCCACGGCUUGCAAGAAAGUCCCGAGACAAGGACUGUGAAUCAUAAAAUUAGUACCACAUGGCUUGCAAAAGGUCUUUAGACAAAGACUGUGAUUAUAAACGUUUUCAGCCCAUUUGUACCCACGGCUUUGCAAAAAGGGUCUUUAGACAGAGACUUUGAUUAAAACAUCUUCAUCAUAUCUGUACCCACGGCUAAUGAAAAGUAUUAAGACAAAAGGCUUGCCAAAAAGGGUCUUUACACAAAGACUGUGAUUGAAAACAUAUUCAUCACAUUGUACCCACGGCUUUGCAAGGAAGUCUUUAGACAAAUACUGAGUGAACACGUCUGCAUCACACUAGUACACACUGCUUGCAACUGUGAUUGAAAACGUCUUCAUCACAUUAGUACCCACGGCUUGCCAUAAAAGGUCUUUAGGCAGAGACUGUGAUUGAAUACGUCUUCAUCACACUAGUACCCAAGGCUUACAAAACUACCUACGGCUUAUGGGUUGGUUUAGACAAAUAUUGGUACAUACGACUUGAGAGAAUCGAAACCGAAUCCAUUGCUUACACACGACUCUAUGAAAAAAAUGAUGUUCGGUGAUGCGAAGUAUGACAAAACUUAGUACCAAUGUCUUACCAAACAACUUUUUAGACAGAGACUGUGAUUGUAACCCACGGCUUAUAAAAGGUUGGAUUCAUCAAGUACUCACGGCUUAAAAAAAUGUAGACAAACACUCUAAAUCUAAACCAGAUCCUUUGCUUACCCACAGCUCUAUGAUGCAAAGGAUGUUUGAGGAUGAAAAGUGUGACAAAAUUUAGUACCAACAGCAUAAAGAAAAACAAGUCUUUAGACAGAGACUGUGAUUGUAAACGUACAUUGCGUUAGUAUCCGCGGCUUACAAGAAAGGUCUUCAGACAUAAAAGAAUGUGAUUGUAAAAUUAUUCAUCACAUUUGUACCCACGGCUUGCAAGAAAGGUCUUCAGAUAAAGACUCUGAUUGAAAACGUCUUCAUCACAUACACCCACAGCUUCGCAAAAAAAAAAAAAAAAUCCUUAAGACUGAAUGUGUUGCAUGGGAUCAAACGACCACAACUUAAAAAGAUCCUCUAGACAAACAAAGACUAGUUGGAUGGAUAAAACGACCAGCGACUUUGCAAAAAAGUUUAAGACAAAGCUCUGAGGUCGUUUCAAUGGCUUAAGAAAAAGGCUUUGAGAUGACUGUGAUAUUAUUCAUUAGCUCACUACCUACGGCUUAGAAAAGGUCUUAAGACAAAGACAAUGGUUUUGAACCUUUUGGAUCGAAACAAUGACCACCUGUUAUGAAGAGUCAUUGUAAAUUCUUGCUAGCCACGGCUUGCAAAAAGUACUAAGACAAAGGCUGGUAACUGAAAACGGAUUCAUUGCAUGAGAGAAGUCUUCAAACGAAGUCUCUAUGAAUCAAAUGAUGUUUUCAUCACAUUAGUCCCGAGUCCUGUUGCGUGAAAUAACGGUCACAAGUCAUGAGAAGUAAACUCACGGCUUAAAAACAAGUCUUUAGACAGAGAUUGUUUUCAUCACAUUAGUACCCACGGCUUGCAAAAAAGUCUUUUGACAAGGACUGUGAAUGAAUAUGUUUUCAUCACAUUUGUACCCACGGCUUUCAAAAAGGUUUUUACACAAACUGUGAUUGAAAACGUCUUCAUCACAUUUGUACUCACGGCUUGCAAAAAAAAAGAAGAAGAUAUUUUGACAACGACUGUGAUUGAAAACGCCUUCCACACAUUAGUACCCACAGCUUGCAAAAAAAAAAAAGUCUUUCAAUGAAGACUGUAACUGAAAACGUAUACAUCACAUUUGUACCCACGGCUUUGCAAAAACGUUUGAGACAAAGACAUUAAGUGAACACGUCUUCAUCACAUUAGUACUCACGGCUUGCCAAAAAAGACAUAGACUGUGAAUGAAAACGUCUUUCAUCACAUUUGUACCCACGACUUUGCAAGAAAGUCUUUAGACAAAUACUGAGUGAACACGACUUUACCAGUACCCACGGCUUGGAAAACUUCUGUUGGAUGGAAAAACGACCAACUUCUCAGAAAACGUUCGAGGCAAAGACUAUGAGUUUAAAAAAAAAUUAUAAUAAACCACGGCUUAGAGGUUGGAUUCAUUAAGUACCCGAAAACUAAUUCUUCACACCAACCACAAGGCUUAAAAAUUACUAGACAAAGAACAAACAAAAAGAUCAGUUUAAAACAAAGAGCAAAAACAGACUCCUUACUAAAGUUAAGCCUUGUCAAAGCUUUUAGAAAAAAGACUACACGCCAAGUUUUUGGCUUGUUGGAUGGUAAAAACGACCAACAACUUAAACCAAUUUCAAGAUAGAGACUAAACCAAAUCGAGUUUUAGCUUGUUUGGAUGGUAAAAACGACCAACAGCUUAAACCAUGUCUUAAGACACUAUGAACCAAAAUGUGAUUCCUCACCUCACUAUGUACGGCUUAGGAAGUCCCUAUACAAAGACUUAUGUCAUAGUUACUUCUUACAGGGUAAUAACUCACAAGAUAACUUUUUUUUGAACUUAAAGACUAAUUAGUUAUGAUUUCCUCAGGUUUUGUAUGUGCUUCAGAAGACUCAGAGAUGAUUUCAAGUGUAUCAGAUUUUUUUAACCAGGUAUGUGCUUUUCAAACAUGUUUGCUACUUAGUCGAUACAUUCAAUUAUGAAAAUCACAAGCAGGAGAGACUGAUAUGAAGUGAAGACUAAUUACAUUUGUUUAGGUACGUUCUUCACAAACUGUUCAUAUCUUCAUUGACGCCAAGGAUUUACCCAGGUAUAUGCUUUUCUUCACUUUUUAUCGUACAAAAUGAUAUUGUUACAUAUGAAUACAAACUAAGUUAAGUGAUAUAUGCGUAAAUGUAAAGGAAUUGGAAAGCUCUGUUAUUAUCUUUGACAAUGUUUCUCUCAUUGAUCUAGCAUUCAUGAGAUUCUAGAAACUGAUUGUUAACAUAUCCAUUGAUGAGAAAGUAGAUUCUUUUUUCAUAUUGGAACAUUAUAUUGUGUUUAAAGUGUAAUCUCUCUCUCUCUCUGUUCUCUUUAGUUUGGUGCUUGUAUGUAUUGAUAAGGUCUUUUAUUUUAAUGAAAUUGAUGUAUGUUAGAGUUUCUUGUAGAUCGUCCUAAAGUUGAGAGACUCCUGCAAAUUGUGGUUGUAGUUUCUUUGAAUCUUGAAUGUUUUUGAUUUGUGCCAUGCGUUUAACCCUCAGUGGUCAUUCUAAACGUGUUAGAAUCUCUUUAUCUUGGUGAUUUUCUGUAUUAUAAGGUCUCUCAUUUUUUGAAAUAUAUGUAUCUUGGACUCUGGCAGAUCAAUAUAGGUGGGAGAUUCCAUCUGUUGUUGUAGCUAGUAGUUCUGUUUUUGAAUCUUGAUGAAUAUUUCUAUUUUGUGAUAUGCUCUUAAGCCUCAGUGAUAAUUCUAAAUGGUGUUAGUAUCUCUUUAGUUUGGUGCUUUUAUGUAUUUUAAGGUCUCUCUUUUAUGAAUUGGGUAUGUUUUAGAGUCUCUUUGUAGAUUAACAGGUGAAACUCCUAUAGAUUGUGUGAGUAGUUUCUUUGAAUUUUGAAUGUAUCUGUUUUUUUGUUAUGCCUCUCCUACUCUCAGUGAUCCUUCUAAACUGCGUUAGUAUUCUGUAUGUUGAUCAGAAAAAAUUAUUCAAAAUUAGUUUGGUUCUUGUAUGUAUUAUAAUGUAACUGAUUUCUAUGAAGUCACUUCUAGAUCAACGUAUGAGAGAUUCCUGCAGAAUGUGGUCGCAGUUUCUUUGAAUCUUGAAUGUUUAUGUUUUGUGUUAUACUCUUAACCCUCGGUGAUCAUUGUAAACAUGUGAAAUGAUUUCUCCACAACUCUGCAUAGGAGGCUAAAUGAUUACUGUGUUAGAUUCUAUAAAUUGUAUAUGUUGACUUGAGUUUUUAGUUUUUACAAUAACAAUGAUUGGAAAUUUCUCAUGGUCUCUAAGUCUUGGCAACAUUUCUGUCAUUGAUUUAGUAUUCUGUGAGAAUGUAGAAACUUAUUGCUUGUUAAUCCUUGAAAACAUCAAGCGAUAUAUACUUAUAAGAAAAUACAAUUUAAGCAUCAGAAAUGUUUUUUAAAGAACUAAUCAUUAGUAACUAUCUUUGAUUUAGUAUCUGUAGCAUUCCGUGUUACAAAAGAAAAAAAAAUUGUCUGUAGGAUUCUAGAAACUGAUUGAUAAUAUUCAUGAAAACGUAUAUUUUAUCCUCUGGUAUCAGAACAUUAGUUGUGUUUAGAUUGUUACUUUGUUUGUUGCUUGUAUGUAUUUUGGAUUUAGAGAUUAACGAAGGAUAAAAUCUUUCCGCUUGUGGUAAUAGUUUUCUUGAAUCUUGAAUGUUUAGGUUGUGUUUUAAUACUCUAAAUCCUCUGUGACCAUUUCUAAACAUGUGAAAUGACAAGUUCACAAUUCUCAUAUGCUGAUGAUUACUGUGUUACAUUCUAUAAUUGUUACAUCCUAUCCCUUUUGUCUCCUAGUCUUACAGGCACAGUUGAUGAAACUUGAAAUUUUUAAAUCAUUGUGAGUAGUUAAGAUUGUGCAAUUGAUCUUGCAUUUUAGUUCACUACUGGUCCUUCUUUGUUAUGUCUGAUUGUGAUCUUGAUUUUCUAAUAUGUUCGAAUUAUAUAUCAUCUUAACUCUUUUUUUAAAUAGGAACAUUUAGUAAAUUAUCUAUUAUUUUCUUGAAAUAUAUUUUGAUGAUAAACUAUAAUACGUGUUUUCCAAAUAUAUUUUGUAAGUAGUUUAACUAUUUGGAAUUGUUGGUGUCAUCUAUUUUAUUAAAGUUGAAUUACUUUUUAAAAAUAACUCUUCUUUCAUCUUAAUAAUUACAAUUAGGGCCUACCGUAUUUUAUUUGUUUUCUAGGUUUUUAUUU